rnacentral:tRNA from 2 species
CGGAGCGUAGUAUACCGGUAGUACGCCUGCUUUGGGAGCAGGUAGACCGGGUUCGAUUCCCGGCGCUCCGACAA